AGGGAAAAGUUUUUUUUUUAAAAAAAGACUUAUGGAGGAGAGAAAAGGAGUACAGCUAUUAAGAGGAAGAAAGCUUCGUGAACCCAGGCUUGAAUGAGCUGCGUUUGAAUGGCGGAGCACUCAGUGCACUUACUGCCAGAUACCCUGCCUGCGUGACCAAUUUAUUCCUGCUGUAUUUACCGAGGACAGAGGACCAAAACCACCUCUGGUGUAAGUCCGGUGACUUCAGUGAAGUUACAACAGAGAUGUCUUUGGCUCACCGAGAAACCGCUUGUGCAGAUCAAUGCAAAGAAAGGACAGAGAGAAAGUGAGAAAGAAAGAAGGAAAGAAAGAGUCUUUGCAUUUGGAAUGGGAUUUCAACGUAUUGAAAAUGUUUGGGUCAGCUACUAUUUUACUUGGUUCUUUUUGUUAUUUUGCUCUUUCUUAUACAAUGACAGCAACAACACAAGUGAAAUAAAUAAAGGGAGUUUCACCAA